UAGAAGGUUUGUCAAGGGUUUUGCUAAC
rnacentral:piRNA from 1 species